UAAUGGCAGGUCAGCAUACUGCCGUGAAUACGUUCCCGGGCCUUGUACACACCGCCCGUCACACCAUGAGAGUUGGGGAUACCCAAAGCCCGUGAGCCAACUUAUAAAGAGGCAGCGGUCUAAGGUAGAAUCAAUGAUUGGGGUGAAGUCGUAACAAGGUAUC
rnacentral:rRNA from 1 species